rnacentral:misc_RNA from 1 species
AAGAAGCAGCAUUGGUGCGUGGUGGUAUGUAACUUUAUAAUUCAGUGGUUCUUGGUGGGGGUAAGUAAGCAACAGAAACUAAGAUAUCUCUCUGUAUCUUUUCUUGGCGUCUUUUGGUGGUGAUAAUCUCAGUGAAGAUUUCUUUAUAGAGAUAAGAGAGAUAGAGGAGCCAUGAAGGUUUCUUGAAGUUGUUACUAAGAGAAAAGAAAAGAAAAUUUCCUGGCCAGCUCCCUCUGUCUUGACACGCUCCUUUUGCCUUCC